GACUCUGUGACAGUGGGGAGGUUUGGGGGGAAGUGUGUCUCAGUGGGGCGCACUCACUCACCGCCGUGAUUAUAAGGUUUUUGGGGGGAAGUUUGCGGGGCAGUACAGCGGGGCGCACUCACUGCCAUGAUGGUGAGGUGGGGGGGAAGUUUGGGGGGCACUGUGUCAUAGCGGGGCACACUCACUCACCACCGUGAUGGUAAGGUUUUUUGGGGGGAAGUUUGCGGGGCAGUACAGCGGGGCGCACUCACUGCCGUGAUGGUGAGGUGGGGGGGAAGUUUGGGGGGCAGUGGGGCAUAGUGGGGCACACUCACCGCCAUGAUGGUGAGGUUCAGAGGGGGAAGUUUGGGGGGCAGUGGGUCACAGCGGGGCACCCUCACUCACCACCGUGAUGGUGAGGUUUGGGGGGGGAAGUUUGGGGGGCAGUACAGCGGGGCGCACUCACUCACCGCCGUGAUGGUGAGGUUGGUGGGGGGGAGUUUGGGGGGGCAGUGGAUCACAGCAGGGCACCCUCACUCACCGCCGUGAUGGUGAGGUUGGGGGGGGGGGGAACUUGGGGGGGGCAGUACAGCGAGGUGCACUCACUCACCGCUGUGAUGGUGAGGUUUGGGGGGGGGGAGUUUGGGGGGCAGUACAGCAGGGAGCCCCCAGCACUCCUUUACACCGCCGUGAUGGUGAGGUGGGGGAGGCUUGGGGGGGCAGUGGGUCACAGCGGGGCGCACCCACUCACCGCUGUGAUGGUGAGGUGGGGGGGAAGUUUGGGGGGCAGUGGGUCACAGCGGGGCGCACUCACUCACCGCCACGUUGUAGAUGGCCAUGCCCACGGCCCGGUGGUCAUUUAUCUUCUCGGUGGAGACGCUCUUGGUCUCGUAGGCC